AGAGUUUGAUCAUGGCUCAGGAUGAACGCUGGCGGUAUGCCUAACACAUGCAAGUCGAACGAUGUCCUCGGACAUAGUGGCGGACGGGUGAGUAACGCGUGAGAAUCUGCCUCUAGGAUGGGGAUAACGGUUGGAAACGACCGCUAACACCCAAUAUGCCGUAAGGUGAAAAAUUUAUUGCCUGGAGAGGAGCUCGCGUCUGAUUAGCUAGUUGGUGGGGUAAGAGCUCACCAAGGCUUCGAUCAGUAGCUGGUCUGAGAGGAUGAGCAGCCACACUGGGACUGAGACACGGCCCAGACUCCUACGGGAGGCAGCAGUGGGGAAUUUUCCGCAAUGGGCGAAAGCCUGACGGAGCAAUACCGCGUGAGGGAGGAAUGCCUUUGGGUUGUAAACCUCUUUUCUCAGGGAAGAAGAUCUGACGGUACCUGAGGAAUAAGUAUCGGCUAACUCCGUGCCAGCAGCCGCGGUAAUACGGAGGAUGCAAGCGUUAUCCGGAAUCAUUGGGCGUAAAGCGUCCGCAGGUGGUUUCCAAAGUCUGCUGUUAAAGACUGGAGCUCAACUCCGGAACGGCGGUGGAAACUUGGAAACUAGAGUUCGGUAGGGGUAGCAGGAAUUCCCAGUGUAGCGGUGAAAUGCGUAGAUAUUGGGAAGAACAUCGGUGGCGAANGCGUGCUACUGGACCGUAACUGACACUCAGGGACGAAAGCUAGGGGAGCGAAAGGGAUUAGAUACCCCUGUAGUCCUAGCUGUAAACGAUGGAAACUAGGUGUGGCUNGUAUCGACCCGAGCCGUGCCGUANCUAACGCGUUAAGUUUCCCGCCUGGGGAGUACGCACGC
rnacentral:rRNA from 1 species